rnacentral:rRNA from 1 species
AGAGUUUGAUCCUGGCUCAGGACGAACGCUGGCGGCGUGCCUAAUACAUGCAAGUCGAGCGGUUCCUUCGGGGAUAGCGGCGGACGGGUGAGUAACACGUAGGCAACCUGCCUGCAAGACUGGGAUAACUACCGGAAACGGUAGCUAAUACCGGAUACGCAAGAGAGUCGCAUGACUUUCUUGGGAAAGACGGAGCAAUC